rnacentral:rRNA from 1 species
GUUAGGAAUAUUGGACAAUGGGCGCAAGCCUGAUCCAGCCAUGCCGCGUGAGUGAUGAAGGCCUUCGGGUUGUAAAGCUCUUUAGCCGAUGAUUAUAAUGACUGUAGUCGGAAAAUAAGCCCCGGCUAACUUCGUGCCAGCAGCCGCGGUAAUACGAAGGGGGCGAGCGUUAUUCGGAAUCACUGGGCGUAAAGCGUGCGUAGGCGGCUUUGCAAGUUGGGAGUGAAAGCCCAGGGCUCAACCUUGGAAUUGCUCUUAAAACUGCAAGGCUAGAAUCUCGGAGAGGAUAGCGGAAUUUCCAGUGUAGCAGUGAAAUGCGUAGAUAUUGGAAGGAACACCAGUGGCGUAAGCGGCUAUCUGGACGAGUAUUGACGCUGAGGCACGAAAGCGUGGGGAUCAAACAGGAUUAGAAACCCUAGUAGUCC